rnacentral:lncRNA from 1 species
GUGAUCUGCCCGCCGGUCUCCCAAAGUGCUGGGAUUAUAGGCAUGAGCCACCACACCCAGCGGAAAGGACAUCUUUUACAAAUGUUUAUAGAUUUUGGGGGUAUAAAUGCAGAUUUCUUACAUGCAUAUAUUAUGCAGUGUAGCCUGGAGCUUCUAGCAUACCCAUUGCUUGAAUGGGGCACAGAGUACACAGCAGUUCCCAGGGACAGGUGACCAUUUUAUCAACGUCCAUCCCAGCAUUUGGGAGCCACUGUCUACAGCCCCUCACCAGGACUGAGCACACCUCAAAGAUGGAGUCUCCCUGUGUUGACCAGGCUGGUCUUGAACUCCUGGACUCAAGCGAUCCGCCCACCUUGGCCUCCCAAAGUGCUGGAAUUACAAGCGUGAACCACUGUGCCUGGCAUCAAGCUCGUCGUCUUGUUUUUUUUUUUGAGACGGAGUCUCACUCUGUCGCCCAGGCUGGAGUGCAGUGGCGCGAUCUCGGCUCACUGCAAGCUCCGUCUUCCGGGUCACACCAUUCUCCUGCCUCAGCCUUCCGAGUAGCUGGGACUACAGGCUCCCGCCACCACGCCUGGCUAAUUUUUUUGUAUUUUUAGUGGAGACGGGCUUUCACCAUGUUAGUCAGGAUGGUCUGGAUCUCCUGACCUCAUGAUCUGCCUGCCUCGGCCUCCCAAAGUGCUGGGAUUACAGGCAUGAGCCACCACACCCAGUAUCUUGUUUUUAUUUCCUCUGUGAUUUUAUUUUUAAUAAAAUCUUGUCUUGUCUUGUUUUUGUUUCCUCUGUGAUUCAAUCCUCUCGCUAUGGGAGCUGGACCACAGGAUACCCUGGGAAAUAGACACUUU